AGAUCGCAACCAGGAGAGAGACGAGUUCAGAGUCUGUUUUAAGAAAAGAAUUAUUUACUUCUUACCAUAUUUUAAAAUAUGUAUUUAUUAGUUUAAGAACAUUGAUAAGUGCUAUGGAAAGAUAACUAAAUUAUGAAUUAUUAAACACUUAUCACUCUUCUUCCGGUUUGAUCUCAUGGAGCAGCCCAACAUCCUCCGGAUCACAUCUCCCCAUUCCGUGGAUCACGCCCCAGCUCAUCUUCCCCGUAUCCGCGAUUCAUUCUUCCGCUUCUCCCAGCAUCCCACUUUCAACCACCUACAGAUAGCUCCCAGUUCAUCUUUCCUAUUCAUCCCAUUGUGAUCCAUCCUUAUCCACA
rnacentral:lncRNA from 1 species